rnacentral:rRNA from 1 species
CCUACGGGUGGCAGCAGUGGGGAAUAUUGCACAAUGGGGGAAACCCUGAUGCAGCGACGCCGCGUGAGUGAGGAAGUAUUUCGGUAUGUAAAGCUCUAUCAGCAGGGAAGAAAAUGACGGUACCUGACUAAGAAGCAUCGGCUAACUCCGUGCCAGCAGCCGCGGUAAUACGGAGGAUGCGAGCGUUAGCCGGAUUUAUUGGGUUAAAGGGGUGCGUAGUCGGAAUGCCAAAUCAGCGGUAAAAUCGCGGGGCUCAACCUCGCUGCGCCGUUGAAACUGGCGUUCUUGAGUGGGCGAGAAGUAUGCGGAACGCGUGGUGUAGCGGUGAAAUGCAUAGAUAUCACGCAGAACGCCGAUUGCGAAGGCAGCAUACCGGCGCCCAACUGACGCUGAAGCACGAAAGCGUGGGUAUCGAACAGGAUUAGAUACCCUAGUAGUC